UACGUAGGGCGCAAGCGUUGUCCGGAAUUAUUGGGCGUAAAGAGCUCGUAGGCGGUCUGUCGCGUCGGAUGUGAAAGCCCGGGGCUUAACCCCGGGUCUGCAUUCGAUACGGGCAGACUAGAGUGUGGUAGGGGAGAUCGGAAUUCCUGGUGUAGCGGUGAAAUGCGCAGAUAUCAGGAGGAACACCGGUGGCGAAGGCGGUCUGCUGGGCAGUUGCUGACACUGAGGCGCGACAGCGUGGGGAGCAAACAGG
rnacentral:rRNA from 1 species